CCUACGGGUGGCUGCAGUCGAGAAUCAUUCACAAUGGGGGAAACCCUGAUGGUGCGACGCCGCGUGGGGGAAUGAAGGUCUUCGGAUUGUAAACCCCUGUCAUGUGGGAGCAAAUUAAAAAGAUAGUACCACAAGAGGAAGAGACGGCUAACUCUGUGCCAGCAGCCGCGGUAAUACAGAGGUAUCAAGCGUUGUUCGGAAUCACUGGGCGUAAGGCGUGCGUAGGCUGUUUCGUAAGUCGUGUGUGAAAGGCGCGGGCUCAACCCGCGGACGGCACAUGAUACUGCGAGACUAGAGUAAUGGAGGGGGAACCGGAAUGCUCGGUGUAGCAGUGAAAUGCGUAGAUAUCGAGAGGAACACUCGUGGCGAAGGCGGGUUCCUGGACAUUAACUGACGCUGAGGCACGAAGGCCAGGGGAGCGAAAGGGAUUAGAUACCCCUGUAGUC
rnacentral:rRNA from 1 species